AUUCAUUCACUCAUAAAUCACAUACCGUGGGCACAGCUCCAAGGCAGGCCUGCAGAUACAGUGGCUGUGGCUUUCGUGGUGCCUUCACAGUCUAAUGGGGGAAAUGGAUAUUAGACAAAGAAGCACAUGUUAUCACAAGUGGUAAUUCUGAGAAAAUAAAUCAGUGUUUGUGAGAUAGAGCGAAGGUAGGACCCAGCUUAAGGUUCAUGGAAGGAUCUGCCCUGCCUGGCUGGAGGAGAGGAGGCUGGGAACAUGUGGAGCCAAAUGCUUGAGAAGGUACCCCAGGCUUAUGUAACAGAUUCGGGGAGGCCAGAGAUUUGCAUGUCCACUGUGGAUCCUGGGACCUCGGAGUCAAGGCUCUUUGAGGAGUGCCCAGAGGUGGGUGUGAAGGAGGGAGAAGAAAGCCUUCCCUGAGUCUCUCCCAUGUGUCCAGGGAUUUUGUUAUCAGAACAGAACUGGUCCUCUGGCCCUGAAAAGAGCGUCUAAGAUAAAAACUGGGUGGCCGUGCUCAGCUACCUGGGAAACUGAGGCAGAAGGAUUACUUGAACCUAGGAGUUUGAGCCCAGCUCAGGAAGUACAGUGCAACCCUGUCUUGAGGAUGGAGGGCAGUGGCACCUGAGAAGUGGGAUCCAGGACUAUGUCUGAAGCAGAUGGAGGGUCAGCAUUUUGGGAAAAAAAAAGUGUCACACAAAGAAACACCCAAAUAAAGCAAAAUUAAGGAAC
rnacentral:lncRNA from 1 species